CGCGGCCUAUCAGCUUGUUGGUGAGGUAACGGCCUACCAAGGCAUCGACGGGUAGCCGGCCUGAGAGGGUGAUCGGCCACACUGGGACUGAGACACGGCCCAGACUCCUACGGGAGGCAGCAGUGGGGAAUAUUGCACAAUGGGCGAAAGCCUGAUGCAGCGACGCCGCGUGAGGGGUGACGGCCUUCGGGUUGUAAACCUCUUUCAGCAGGGACGAAGCGCAAGUGACGGUACCUGCAGAAGAAGCACCGGCUAACUACGUGCCAGCAGCCGCGGUAAUACGUAGGGCGCAAGCGUUGUCCGGAAUUAUUGGGCGUAAAGAGCUCGUAGGCGGUUUGUCGCGUCUGCCGUGAAAGUCCGGGGCUCAACUCCGGAUCUGCGGUGGGUACGGGCAGACUAGAGUGAUGUAGGGGAGACUGGAAUUCCUGGUGUAGCGGUGAAAUGCGCAGAUAUCAGGAGGAACACCGGUGGCGAAGGCGGAUCUCUGGGCCGAUACUGACGCUGAGGAGCGAAAGCGUGGGGAGCGAACAGGAUUAGAUACCCUGGUAGUCCACACCGUAAACGUUGGGCGCUAGGUGUGGGACUCAUUCCACGAGUUCCGUGCCGCAGCUAACGCAUUAAGUGCCCCGCCUGGGGAGUACGG
rnacentral:rRNA from 1 species